rnacentral:rRNA from 1 species
GACGAACGCUGGCGGCGUGCCUAAUACAUGCAAGUAGAACGCUGAAGGAGGAGCUUGCUUCUCUGGAUGAGUUGCGAACGGGUGAGUAACGCGUAGGUAACCUGCCUGGUAGCGGGGGAUAACUAUUGGAAACGAUAGCUAAUACCGCAUAAUAGUAGAUGUUGCAUGACAUUUGCUUAAAAGGUGCAAUUGCAUCACUACCAGAUGGACCUGCGUUGUAUUAGCUAGUUGGUGGGGUAACGGCUCACCAAGGCGACGAUACAUAGCCGACCUGAGAGGGUGGUCGGCCACACUGGGAAUGAGACCCGGCCCAAGAGCCUUCGGGAGGCAGCAGUAGGGAAUCUUCGGCAAUGGACGGAAGUCUGACCGAGCAACGCCGCGUGAGUGAAGAAGGUUUUCGGAUCGGAAAGCUCUGUUGUAAGAGAAGAACGAGUGUGAGAGUGGAAAGUUCACACUGUGACGGUAUCUUACCAGAAAGGGACGGCUAACUACGUG